GAGAGUUAAACAGUACGUGAAAUUGUUGAAAGGGAAACGAUUGAAGCCAGUCGUACCUUCGGGUAAUCAGCCUUUCGGGUGCGAUUAUGUGGAGUGUGAGGAGCUUAAACACCUUCAUGUUUUGCAUAUUCGUACUCUUGGGUGUACUUGCCCGUGUGGUUGGUUAACAUCAAUUUUGGUGGUCAUAAAAUGACUGGGGGAAUGUAGCUUCGAUCUUGUAUUGAAGUGUUAUAGCCUUCGGUAGAUGUGAUGAUCGAGAUUGAGGAUUGCAACGGAUACCUUUCGGGGCUACCUGUCUGAUCUCUGAUCGUUGCUUUGGUGCUGAAAGCGUGCUUAUAGUUAUCAAAGUCGAUGGUUAAUAGGUUAGAAUGGGUUAAAUUCGUUAAGGAUGUUGACGUAAUGGCUUUAAACGA
rnacentral:rRNA from 1 species